AAAAGAGAUUUCAAAAUGAUUCAACCUCAGACCCAUUUGAAUGUAGCAGAUAACAGCGGGGCCGAGAAUUGAUGUGUAUUCGAGUCAUAGGAGCUAGUAAUCGCCGAUAUGCUCAUAUUGGUGACGUUAUUGUUGCUGUGAUCAAGGAAGCAGUACCAAAUACACCUCUAGAAAGAUCAGAAGUGAUCAGAGCUGUAAUUGUACGUACUCGUAAAGAACUCAAACGCGACAACGGGAUGAUAAUACGAUAUGAUGACAAUGCUGCCGUUGUCAUUGAUCAAGAAGGAAAUCAAAAGGAACUCGAAUUUUUGGUGCGAUCGCUUGGGAAUUGAGACAGUUAAAUUUCACUAAAAUAGUUUCAUUAGCUCCCGAGGUAUUAUAAGACGAGACCCAAGUAUAGUUAGAGUAUUUAGAGUAUUUAAAUGGCAUAGAUUAAUUAGUAGAUUGUGUCUCACGUAUAUACCUUUACUAAGUAAAAAAAAAAGACCACGUUGGUUAUAUCAAAAUUCGGGAGCAACAAAAAUUUUAGUUUACCAUGGGUAAGGACACUAUUGCUGACAUAAUAACCUCUAUACGAAAUGCUGAUAUGAAUAGAAAAGGAACGAUUCAAAUAGGAUCUACUAACAUCACUGAAAACAUUGUUAAAAUACUUUUACGAGAAGGUUUUAUCGAUAACGUAAGGAAACAUCGGGAACGCAACAAAUAUUUUUUGGUUUUAACCCUACGACAUAGACGGAAUAGAAAAGGACCACAUAGAACUAUUUUAAAUUUACGACGGAUCAGUCGACCAGGUCUACGAAUCUAUUCUAACUAUCAACAAAUUCCUAGGAUUUUAGGCGGGAUGGGGAUUGUAAUUCUUUCUACUUCUCGGGGUAUAAUGACAGACCGGGAGGCUCGACUAGAAGGAAUCGGUGGAGAAAUUUUGUGUUCUAUAUGGUAAUCUGUCCGGUAUACGAAUUGUAUCCGAAACUCUCCAUUUGUGCAAAAAAAAAAGAAAAAAGCACGGGUUGUCUAAUAGAACUCCUCCUGCCCUACGGUAGUUGAUACGUCAAGGAAGUUUUACCUGGAAUAAAAGAACAAAAAAAUGGAUUCAUGAAGGUUUAAUUUAAUUAGUAAAUCACUCCCACUCUGGAUUCCUUUAGAUAAUGAAGAUCUGAUUUUAGGUUAUGUUUCGGGAGAGUUUUACCAACGUGGGAUAGAGUCAACAAAAGUGAAGUAAGUGCUUAUGAUUCAACCAGGGGGGC